UACAGAGGUCCCAAGCGUUGUUCGGAUUCAUUGGUCGUAAAGGGUGCGUAGGCGGCGCGGUAAGUCGGGUGUGAAAUCUCGGGGCUUAACUCCGAAACUGCAUUCGAUACUGCCGUGCUUGAGGACUGGAGAGGAGACUGGAAUUUACGGUGUAGCGGUGAAAUGCGUAGAUAUCGUAAGGAAGACCAGUGGCGAAGGCGGGUCUCUGGACAGUUCCUGACGCUGAGGCACGAAGGCCAGGGGAGCAAACGGG
rnacentral:rRNA from 1 species